GAUGAACGCUAGCGGCAGGCCUAAUACAUGCAAGUCGAACGGGAUUAAGAGGCUUGCUUCUUAUGAGAGUGGCGCACGGGUGCGUAACACGUUUGCAACCUACCUUCAACUGGGGGAUAGCCUUCCGAAAGGGAGAUUAAUACCGCAUAACAUAAUUGAGUGGCAUCACUUGAUUAUCAAACGUCAGGGUUGAAGAUGGGCAUGCGUCCGAUUAGUUUGUUGGUGAGGUAACGGCUCACCAAGACUACGAUCGGUAGGGGAUCUGAGAGGAUGGCCCCCCACACUGGUACUGAGACACGGACCAGACUCCUACGGGAGGCAGCAGUAAGGAAUAUUGGUCAAUGGACGGAAGUCUGAACCAGCCAUGCCGCGUGCAGGAAGACUGUCCUCUGGAUUGUAAACUGCUUUUGUUAGGGAAGAAACUUCCGUACGUGUACGGGACUGACGGUACCUAAAGAAUAAGGAUCGGCUAACUCCGUGCCAGCCUCCGCCGUAA
rnacentral:rRNA from 1 species